GAUGAAGAACGUAGCGAAAUGCGAUAAGUCAUGUGAAUUGCAGAAUUCAGUGAAUCAUCGAAUCUUUGAACGCACAUUGCGCCCCUUGGUAUUCCGAGGGGCAUGCCUGUUCGAGCGUCAUUAUAACCCCUCAAGCUCAGCUUGGUGUUGGGGCCUGCUGCACUGGCAGCCCUUAAAAUCAGUGGCGGCGCCAUCUGGCUCUAAGCGUAGUAAUUCUUCUCGCUAUGGAGUCCUGGUGGAUGCUUGCCAUCAACCCCCAAUGUUUCUAUGGUUGACCUCGGAUCAGGUAGGGAUACCCGCUGAACUUAAGCAUAUCAAUAAGCGGAGGA
rnacentral:misc_RNA from 1 species